rnacentral:piRNA from 1 species
CACUGCGGAAGAGAUGGAAGAGAUG